UUUUCGAAAUUAAAUUGAUGUUCAUUUCAAUCAACGGACAUUCAUAAUCCAGACACGCAUAUCGCCAUUGACAUAUAACUAUUCUACUCUUCAAAAUAAUCCACUCAUCAACACGACCGGUUUAAAACAGCUCAGAUAUGAGUGAUUGCGAUGAUGGUGGUGUUUAUUGUGGAGACGAAGAUAGUUCUGACGAUGAUGUCGUGUGUUGUUGUCCCGGUAGCACCAGAAAGAAAAACGUGACCACCGGAAGUACACAUGGAAGUACUUGCCCACCAACAAAUGCCGAAGCAACACAAAAGAAAAAGAAAAAAAAGAAACCGAAGCCAGAUAAUGAAGGAGGCCUUUUUUAAUUUUGAUACCAAGUGAACAAUUUUUUGAAUUAUUGCUAUGUUUUCAUGCAUUACAAUGUCUUUUUGGAGUGUUUUUUUUUUAGUAUAACGGGUAAAACAGUAUCGUCGUAUUCAGUUGGUCAAUAAGUUCCCAAUAAUAAUACAACGGAUUCUUUUCAUGCUACUCAUACUCAAUCUAAUAUUACGUCAUUAUUUUGCUUUGUAAACAAAGCUGUGUUUUAAUUAGCACAAAAUAUGUUGGACACAUGCGCAAAAAUUUACUAUUGUAAUUCUCGUUGCUUUUAUUGUUAUUCUAAUAAAAUGUAUACAUUUUAGUAGCUUACAUAAUGUUUUAUUAUAAAUUGUUUAUCAAACAACAUA